GUCUUUUUACAACUGAUACUACUUAUUUUUACAAUAUGAUGACGAUGAUGACGCAAUCAAAUUGAUUGUGCAGACAUACAUAAAAAAACUACCGCUACAUUAUUUCAAGCUUAUUCUAUCUACAAAUUUAAGAAAAAACUUGGCAUGUUAUACCCUAGUUCGACAGAUUCGACUUUAACAUAUUUGUUUAGAAUAAGUGUUGUUUAAUGUGAGA
rnacentral:misc_RNA from 1 species